GAGCUUGAUUGCAAGACAUACAGGUCGAGCAAGGAUGAAAAUCGGACUUAGUGAUCCGGUGGUUCUGCGUGGAAGGGCCAUCGCUCAACGGAUAAAAGCUACCCUGGGGAUAACAGGCUUAUCUCCCCCAAGAGUCCACAUCGACGGGGAGGUUUGGCCCCUCGAUGUCGGCUCAUCACAUCCUGGGGCUGUAGUAGGUCCCAAGGGUUGGGCUGUUCGCCCAUUAAAGUGGUACGCGAGCUGGGUUCAGAACGUCGUGAG
rnacentral:rRNA from 1 species